CAGCAGCCACGGUAAUACGGAGGGUGCAAGCGUUAAUCGGAAUUACUGGGCGUAAAGCGCACGCAGGCGGUCUGACAAGUCAGAUGUGAAAUCCCCGGGCUUAACCUGGGAACUGCAUUUGAAACUGUCAGGCUGGAGUCUUGUAGAGGGGGGUGGAAUUCCAGGUGUAGCGGUGAAAUGCGUAGAGAUCUGGAGGAAUACCGGUGGCGAAGGCGGCCCCCUGGACAAAGACUGACGCUCAGGUGCGAAAGCGUGGGGAGCAAACAGGAUUAGAUACCCGAGUAGUCCCUGUCUCUUAUAA
rnacentral:rRNA from 1 species